rnacentral:rRNA from 1 species
UAGGGAAUCUUCCACAAUGGACGCAAGUCUGAUGGAGCAACGCCGCGUGAGUGAAGAAGGUUUUCGGAUCGUAAAGCUCUGUUGUUGGUGAAGAAGGAUAGAGGCAGUAACUGGUCUUUAUUUGACGGUAAUCAACCAGAAAGUCACGGCUAACUACGUGCCAGCAGCCGCGGUAAUACGUAGGUGGCAAGCGUUGUCCGGAUUUAUUGGGCGUAAAGCGAGCGCAGGCGGAAUGAUAAGUCUGAUGUGAAAGCCCACGGCUCAACCGUGGAACUGCAUCGGAAACUGUCAUUCUUGAGUGCAGAAGAGGAGAGUGGAACUCCAUGUGUAGCGGUGGAAUGCGUAGAUAUAUGGAAGAACACCAGUGGCGAAGGCGGCUCUCUGGUCUGCAACUGACGCUGAGGCUCGAAAGCAUGGGUAGCGAACAGGAUUAGAUACCCUGGUAGUCCGUGCCGUAAACGAUGAGCGCUAGG